GAUGAACGCUGGCGGCGUGCCUAAUACAUGCAAGUCGAGCGAACGGGCGAGAAGCUUGCUUCUCUGAUGUUAGCGGCGGACGGGUGAGUAACACGUGGAUAACCUACCUAUAAGACUGGGAUAACUUCGGGAAACCGGAGCUAAUACCGGAUAAUAUUUUGAACCGCAUGGUUCAAAAGUGAAAGACGGUCUUGCUGUCACUUAUAGAUGGAUCCGCGCUGCAUUAGCUAGUUGGUAAGGUAACGGCUUACCAAGGCAACGAUGCAUAGCCGACCUGAGAGGGUGUUCGGCCACACUGGAACUGUGACACGGUCCAGACUCCUACGGGAGGCAGCAGUAGGGAAUCUUCCGCAAUGGGCGAAAGCCUGACGGAGCGCCGCCGCGUGAGUGAUGAAGGUCUUCGGAUCGUAAAACUCUGUUAUUAGGGAAGAACAUAUGUGUAAGUAACUGUGCACAUCUUGACGGUACCUAAUCAGAAAGCCACGGCUAACUACGUG
rnacentral:rRNA from 1 species